UAUGACAAAAUCUAAUGACGCCAGGGACUUGACGAUGUUGUGAAAUGUCCUCCAGCCACCACUUAUCUACAAGAUUCUGAGAAGUGAAGUCUCCGUCAGGUGUAAUAAUGACACACAGGUGUUUCUCAGUGUUUUCUCUGGUGAUAAUCAGCUGUUUUUAUGCAGUGGUGUCCCCUGAGCAGAAAACUUCCACCUGGAGCGGGUGGUCAGGGUGGACGUCGUGCUCGGUCACGUGUGGUUACGGUCUGAUAUACAGGGAAGCUUACUGGAUCGACAAGAAUGGACAGAGGACGAACAAGACAACUCACGAUAACCAGGGGUGUUACAUCCCUAAAUCCUGUCCCGG